UACGUAGGGUGCGAGCGUUAAUCGGAAUUACUGGGCGUAAAGGGUGAGUAGGCGGAUAUAUAAGUUAGAUGUGAAAGUCCCGAGCUUAACUUGGGGAUAGCAUUUAAGACUGUAUUGUCUAGAGUUAGUAAGAGGGGGGUAGAAUUCCAAGUGUAGCAGUGAAAUGCGUAGAGAUUUGGAGGAAUACCGAUGGCGAAGGCAGCCCCCUGGGAUGUAACUGACGCUGAGUCACGAAAGCGUGGGUAGCAAA
rnacentral:rRNA from 1 species